GGAAACGACUGCUAAUACCGAAUGUGUCGUAAGAUGAAAGAUUUAUUGCCUAGAGAUGAGCUCGCGUCUGAUUAGCUAGUUGGUGGGGUAAAAGCCUACCAAGGCGACGAUCAGUAGCUGGUCUGAGAGGAUGAUCAGCCACACUGGGACUGAGACACGGCCCAGACUCCUACGGGAGGCAGCAGUGGGGAAUUUUCCGCAAUGGGCGAAAGCCUGACGGAGCAACGCCGCGUGAGGGAGGAAGGCUUUUGGGUUGUAAACCUCUUUUAUCAAGGAAGAUAAUGACGGUACUUGAUGAAUCAGCAUCGGCUAACUCCGUGCCAGCAGCCGCGGUAAUACGGAGGAUGCAAGCGUUAUCCGGAAUAAUUGGGCGUAAAGCGUUCGUAGGUGGUUUUGUAAGUCUGCUGUUAAAGCGUGUAGCUCAACUACAUAUAGGCAGUGGAAACUACAAGACUUGAGUGCGUUCGGGGUAGAGGGAAUUCCUGGUGUAGCGGUGAAAUGCGUAGAGAUCAGGAAGAACACCGGUGGCGAAGCGCUCUACUAGGCCGCAACUGACACUGAGGGACGAAAGCUAGGGGAGCGAAUGGGAUUAGAUACCCCAGUAGUC
rnacentral:rRNA from 1 species